UACGAAGGGGGCUAGCGUUGUUCGGAAUUACUGGGCGUAAAGCGCGCGCAGGCGGCCAUUCAAGUCAGGGGUGAAAGCCCAGAGCUCAACUGGGGAGGGUCACGCGAUACUGAUCGACUCGAAGGCAGGAGAGGGUAGUGGAAUUCCCGGUGUAGUGGUGAAAUGCGUAGAUAUCGGGAGGAACACCAGUGGCGAAGGCGGCCUUCUGGACCAAUACUGACGCUCAUGCACGAAAGCGUGGGGAGCAAACAGG
rnacentral:rRNA from 1 species